AAGUCUGACGGAGCACGCCGCGUGAGUGAUGAAGGUUUUCGGAUCGUAAAGCUCUGUUGUUAGGGAAGAACAAGUACCGUUCGAAUAGGGCGGUACCUUGACGGUACCUAACCAGAAAGCCACGGCUAACUACGUGCCAGCAGCCGCGGUAAUACGUAGGUGGCAAGCGUUGUCCGGAAUUAUUGGGCGUAAAGGGCUCGCAGGCGGUUUCUUAAGUCUGAUGUGAAAGCCCCCGGCUCAACCGGGGAGGGUCAUUGGAAACUGGGGAACUUGAGUGCAGAAGAGGAGAGUGGAAUUCCACGUGUAGCGGUGAAAUGCGUAGAGAUGUGGAGGAACACCAGUGGCGAAGGCGACUCUCUGGUCUGUAACUGACGCUGAGGAGCGAAAGCGUGGGGAGCGAACAGGAUUAGAUACCCUGGUAGUCCACGCCGUAAACGAUGAGUGCUAAGUGUUAGGGGGUUUCCGCCCCUUAGUGCUGCAGCUAACGCAUUAAGCACUCCGCCUGGGGAG
rnacentral:rRNA from 1 species